rnacentral:rRNA from 1 species
GCAUAUAACCUAAUCACCCUGAAUGUGCCUAAUGUCGUCACAUCUCAGAAGCUAAGGAGUGUUUCAGCCUAGUUAAUGCUUGGAUGGGAGACUGUCUUCGAAUGCCAGGUGUUACAGGCU